rnacentral:sRNA from 1 species
CGCUUUUGAUCAGAACCUGUCUCCUAUAUGCAUAUCUAUCAGAAUUAAAUAGGUGGUCAAAAACUGUCGACAAACUAAUGUAUGGGCCUGGUCGUAAAGUGCAGUCUAAAUUUCCAUUGUAGGGACCGUACAACUCUCGUCCUUGCCAGUACGUGUGCGUGAUCCAGGCAAUGUCAAGUACGCCCACCGCUUACUAUUGCUAAUAUUCACCCUUAACAUCCGCUAGCCCAGUCCGUAACAAUGCAAGAUAACUGCCACCAUUAACAGUCUACGAUUUCAGUCUGUAAGCAGAAUUAAAUUGAGUGCAUUCAACAACAACACAACAGAAAACGAAACGAAACGAAACCAAAACAAAGAUACUCCGAAAAUGAGGCGCACUCUUUGGCACAUGCUCACGGCCCAGCUCCUGCUCCUGGUACUCUGUUCGCUGCUCUCUCUCUGCUCCGGCGGCAAUAUGCAUCCUUUGAAAGUGGGCAAAAACUAUGCGUCGCUGCACAACCAGCCCAAGGACUUUCGCUCUUUAGUGAUGGAUAUUAGCAAGUUUGUUCUCACUAUUGUGAGCAGAACGCGUUGAGUCACGUUUUUUUUUGUUUAUUGUUAAUUUUUUUUGAGCACGUAUUCCUUAUUUAUAGAAAGCAAAAGCUUUUUCCUCCAUCUAAUCUGUCCAAAGAUCUGACUAGUACCAUAUCUAUUACUAAGCUGGCGUCGAGAUUUGAAUUCCAAUCUGAGUCCUGCCCCCCAUUCAAUUCAGAGUUCCAAAAUUCUCCAUUAAAGACCGACAGAAAGGCCAGCGACCAGCAGAUCAGUGCAGAGACCGACAAUCAUUGCCAAAGCAACGCAAAGCCUGGCCUCGAACUGAAUUUACAAUAAAAAUUCUUAAUUCUUGGUACAAAAAUUUCUGUAUUUAGCUGAUGAAAAUAAUUU